CGCGUAUCCAACCUGCCCAUCACUUGGGGAUAACCUUGCGAAAGUAAGACUAAUACCCAAUGACGUCUCUAGAAGACAUCUGAAGGAGAUUAAAGAUUUAUCGGUGAUGGAUGGGGAUGCGUCUGAUUAGCUUGUUGGCGGGGUAACGGCCCACCAAGGCGACGAUCAGUAGGGGUUCUGAGAGGAAGGUCCCCCACAUUGGAACUGAGACACGGUCCAAACUCCUACGGGAGCAGCAUC
rnacentral:rRNA from 1 species